CUCAGCCUCUUAAAGUGCUGGGAUUACAGGAGUGAGCCACCGCACCUGGCCAUCCUCAGGUUUUAAUCUCCAUGGAAUGAAAGUUAAUCAUAAUAAAUAACAGAGAAACAACAAUGGACCAAAAUUGCCUUCUAAAACUUCUUCCGAGUCAUCUCAAUACUGAAGCAAGGACCACGGACUCUGGAGCUUGUCUGCCUGGCUUCCGAUUGUGGCUCAGCCACUUGCCAGCUCUCUGUGCCUUAGUUUCCUCAACUUCAAAUCAGCAACACACAAAUGCCACUUUCUAAGCAAGGCACCAUGCGAAGCCCGGGGAUGAAAAGCUGGAAAGUAACAUCGCCCUCAUCCAUGGGAAGACUCCAGUAUGUAGACAGAGAUAUACAGAUCCCUAUGGUAAGAGCUGUGAUAAAUUCAAGCUCAGAGAGCUAAACUGUACACACAAUAAGUUAAUUCUGGCUUAUAGGGAGAGCAGCUGGGAAAAUUCUAUGUCUUUUCACUGCAAAAAAAUAAGAAGAAAAAAUAUCUCU